rnacentral:rRNA from 1 species
AUGAUUGACCUAAAUGAGGAACCAACUGAAAAUAAUGAUGAUCCUUUGUACUGUACACAACAUGCUACUGGAAAUGCAGAAUUUGUGGCGGAACCACGUAAUCCCCCUAUCAUACAAAGAGUCGAUGGUGCUGCUACAGAAGCAAUGGAGACAGAUGGGCAGUCAAGUCAUGGGGGGCGUGCUCCGGGCAGUACACAAGUACCUACAGCUGUAACAGCUGGGAGUGAUGCUCAUACCCUUGAUGGCACAGGUGCUGCAGGUGAUACCGGUGGCACUGUUGGUAAUGGUUUGGGUGCUGAAAAUGAUGAUGAAGCUUGGUCACAGCCCAAGGAGCCUUACGUGGGCAUGAGGUUCGACACUUUGGAAGAUGCCAAGGUGCAUUACAAUGCAUAUUCCUUGCAGAUGGGUUUUUCAAUCAAAAUGAAUAGUUCAAGGAAGGAUAUGAAAACUGGGGAGUUGAUAAAACAACAGUUUGUUUGCAACAAGUUUCGAAAGCCUGAUGUUGAUGACGGAGGGGCAGAAAAGAUUCCCGUGCUAGAUGACAUUGUUGAGCAAGCAAAAGAUGAUAAUGAAGAUGAGGCUAUUGUCUUUCUUGAUGAUGAUAGUAAGGGCAAAAAGAGGAGCAAGAAACGAAAAAGAGAUAAAAUUGUGCAAACUGGUUGCAAAGCUAAGAUGAUUGUGAAGGUAAUAGAUGGCAGAUGGGAGGUGAUCUACUUUGUUAGCGAGCACAACCAUCCGUUGAUUGACAAGCCAUGUUUGACUAAGUAUUUGCGAUCACACCAAGGGAUACCGCCAGAAGAAAGGGCCUUCCUUACUCACCUUCAUAACUGCAAUUUAACUACAGGUCGUAUGAUGCACAUCAUGUCAGAUUUCUAUGGGACAGAACUCAUUGUACCUUAUAGCACAAAGCACAUUACAAACCUCAAGACGCUCUUAAACAAGGAUAAUACAAAAGAAGGGGAUAUGAUAGAGACAGUUGCUUACUUUAAAGAUCAGCAGAGGGAGGAUCCAGCUUUUUUUACAAGAUAA